UGCUAGUCGCACGGGUUCAGACCCGUGGCGAAUAGCUCCGUAACACGUGGCCAAACUACCCUAUGGAUCGGAAUAACCUCGGGAAACUGAGGCUAAUACCGAAUACCGCUCUCACGUUGGAAUUACAGAGAGCACGAAACGCCCCGGCGCCAUAGGAUGUGGCUGCGGCCGAUUAGGUAGACGGUGGGGUAACGGCCCACCGUGCCGAUAAUCGGUACGGGUUGUGAGAGCAAGAACCCGGAGACGGUAUCUGAGACAAGAUACCGGGCCCUACGGGGCGCAGCAGGCGCGAAACCUUUACGCUGCACGAACGUGCGAUAAGGGGACUCCAAGUGCGAGGGCAUACAGUCCUCGCUUUUCCCUACCGUAAGGUGGUAGGUGAAUAAGAGCUGGGCAAGACCGGUGCCAGCCGCCGCGGUAAUACCGGCAGCUCGAGUGAUGGCCAAUAUUAUUGGGCCUAAAGCGUCCGUAGCUGGCCGAACAGGUCCGACGGGAAAUCCGCUCGCUCAACGAGCGGACGUCCGGUGGAAACCAGUCGGCUUGGGACCGGAAGACCCGAGGGGUACGUCCGGGGUAGGAGUGAAAUCCUGUAAUCCUGGACGGACCACCGGUGGCGAAAGCGCCUCGGGAGGACGGAUCCGACAGUGAGGGACGAAAGCUUGGGUCACGAACCGGAUUAGAUACCCGGGUAGUCCAAGCUGUAAACGAUGCUCGCUAGGUGUGGCACUGGCUACGAGCCAGUGCUGUGCCGUA
rnacentral:rRNA from 1 species